rnacentral:rRNA from 1 species
UACGGAGGGUGCAAGCGUUAUCCGGAUUUACUGGGUUUAAAGGGUGCGUAGGUGGGCAGGUAAGUCAGUGGUGAAAUCUCCGGGCUUAACUCGGAAACUGCCAUUGAUACUAUCUUUCUUGAAUACCGUGGAGGUCAGCGGAAUAUGUCAUGUAGCGGUGAAAUGCUUAGAUAUGACAUAGAACACCAAUUGCGAAGGCAGCUGGCUACACGAAUAUUGACACUGAUGCACGAAAGCGUGGGGAUCAAACAGG